AGGGGUUCUACAGGGUCGUCCUGAGAACACAUGAUUGUUGCUGAGAUAAUGAUUUGGUGCGUAUAUUGUAUACUUAGCUCAUAUGUUCUCAGGUCGCCCCUGCUGAACUUUU
rfam:Lupinus angustifolius cultivar Tanjil chromosome LG09, whole genome shotgun sequence.